UCCCUCUUUACAAUGUUCUUGUGUGCCAUU
rnacentral:piRNA from 1 species